rnacentral:misc_RNA from 1 species
CCGAGUUUACAACUCCCAAACCCAUGUGAAUUUACCUUUACGUUCCCUCGGCGGCGUCUUCUCCCCUCGGGGGGGAUUCCCGCCAGAGGACCAAACCAAACCCUUGAAUUUUUUAGAAUUAUUCUGAGUGAUUUACUAAAUAAAUCA